GACGAACGCUGGCGGCGUGCUUAACACAUGCAAGUCGAACGGAAAGGCCCUGCUUUUGUGGGGUGCUCGAGUGGCGAACGGGUGAGUAACACGUGAGUAACCUGCCCUUGACUGUGGGAUAACUUCAGGAAACUGGGGCUAAUACCGGAUAGGAGCUCCUGCUGCAGGGUGGGGGUUGGAAGGUUUCGGCGGUUGUGGAUGGACUCGCGGCUUAUCAGCUUGUUGGUGGGGUAGUGGCUUACCAAGGCUUUGACGGGUAGCCGGCCUGAGAGGGUGACCGGCCACAUUGGGACUGAGAUACGGCCCAGACUCCUACGGGAGGCAGCAGUGGGGAAUAUUGCACAAUGGGCGGAAGCCUGAUGCAGCAGCGCCGCGUGCGGGAUGACGGCCUUCGGGUUGUAAACCGCUUUCGCCUGUGACGAAGCGUGAGUGACGGUAAUGGGUAAAGAAGCACCGGCUAACUACGUG
rnacentral:rRNA from 1 species